rnacentral:lncRNA from 1 species
CAGAAAUUGUUUUCACCCGUGUCUACUGAGACGGAAAACACCUCAAUUGGGCAGCCUGGUCCUCAGGAGGGGCAUGAAUAAGCACUUGCUUCUCCUCGUGGGGUUCGUCCAGCAGCCUGGUGUGCACACAGGUAAGAACUAGAACGUAGGUGGCCUGCCUGCACACUCACCAGGGCUCCCCCUGCCAGCUUUGUGGCAUCGUGGGGGAUCUUCUGUUUAGCGGGCUGGGUGUUAUUGUGACCUCUCUCCUUCUGCUUUCAAUUAAGCUACUGCAAGUCAAGAGACAGCAGCCACUGGACCAAAAUCUAAGAAGUGAUUUGCCCCGGGUCACACAGUUAUUUAGCGAAAGAGUCCAUCUGGACAAGAUUCCUUCCCAUAAACCAAAGCAGGUAAGGUGGGGUGAAUGAGAGAGAGGGUGAAGGGAGGGACUGAAGUUUAUAAGGGCUGCGUGAAAAGGGGAGGCUUUGAGACAGAAUUGAUAGACCGUGUUUCAGUGGCUCAGCUGUCCCCUCCCGCUUCUGGCUUCAUUUCCCUCCGAGCCCCUCUUUACUCUGAGUUUCCGUCUGGGCAAGUCCUGAGCUUCUGGAAUGUGUCUUCGCCUUCCUUAUCUGGGAGCUAAUCACUAAAUAGCAGGUGGUGAAGAUUCUGUUUUUCAUCUCUCUUGUUCUGUCCUCUCUUUUACUCAUUUCCUCAGGGCUGUGAAUUUCUGAAUCCCAAGCAGGAAACCUCCCUGAUGUGUUCACACCUGGAACAUCACUCUCUCUUUGUUUGGAGAGGAUGGAAAGGUGCAGGGAGGAUCAAGACAAAAGGCUGUUUUCUAAAGAAGGAAGAGAGAUGUCAGCAUUUAAAUAGUAAUGCACACACUCCAUGAAGAUGUAUGCACACACAUUUUUUUUUUUUAACCCAGCACUCUUUCUUUCAACUCCUACAUUUCCCUACAUGUCUCCACUCCAGUCAACAUCUUAUAAGACAAAGAGUGUUUACUGGGUGUCACUUCAGUUAUCAACACUCCACACAAAUCGGUUGACAGAGGAAAUGCGCAAAGAACGUUUGCAAGCCUGUUUGGGGUUGAAAUAACAACCAGACUACCUGGAGGCUCACAGAGAUUAGCUUACCUUUUGCUCCUACAAAUGUAAGAAACUGGCUCUUGAAAGAAGCUGUCAUCAAUGUCCCUCUCUCCGUGGGUGUUGGGGAGUUCCAGCCUUUCUGAACGGUGCACUCUGUCCUCUUCAUGGACCUACCAUUUUGGAAGGGACUUCGGGAGGUCAACUAGCACAGGCUCCCACCUGUAGUUAUCAUUUGUCCAGGUGGUUGUGGUCUACUGAACAUAAACUCCCUGUGGGGAAAAGGGAACAAAAUACUGGAUGCAAAGAUGUAAAUCUGAAUCCACAGUUUCCGGUCUGUGGGCUCCCAUAGUUGGGGGCGCCAUAUUUGCGUGAAUCAGUACCUACGGACUGGCUAAAUAGUAUGACUCAUGUACAUAUACUCUGACACUUCUAUUGUAUUUAUUGAUUCAGUCUACAGAUAUACAGAAGGUGCCUACUUUGUGCCGGGAACUGUGCUGGGUGCUGAAAUAUACAACAGAUGGUGGACAAGUCAAACCAACUCUGCCCCUGUGGUAGGUAUUUCUGGUCCAGUGGUGAAGACAGGCACAGAGAGUUGCAGAAGGAAAGCAGUAACUCAACUUUGGGAUAGUAUAUUAAAGAGGUUGUGAUUACCAGCAUUCAAAUUACUUUAAAGGUGAUGGCCCCUGCCAUUAAGCAUUUGUUCUAUCAAUGCAUUUCUCAAAUGCGAGUACCUUUAUCUGCAGGUCUAUAAAUGUUUUUAGAUGGAAAAUGUGCCUCCAUACUAAAAAUACUUGGACACCACUGACCUAAAUCAUCCCCAAGAGAUGCCUUUUCUAUCCCAGAUGAAUGAAUUAAAUAGCAAGAAGUGAUAUUCCAUCAAUAUUCCAGCGACUCCCAGCUGGACAAUUCUUUCUUAGAUUUGAGCUUGUGUUGCUUCAUGGAAAGUUAAUCUCAAUUUUCUCUGAACCCCCAUCAUCCAGGAAUGCUACCUCUCUGGAGAGCCCUGGAGAAAUCAAGAAAGUACACAUGCAUUUGGUCAUAGAUUCCACCUCCACAGAGGGCAGAGAGGGGCCCCACCUGUCCCCUUGACUUGGGUGAGGUGGGAGGCACGGUCUCGUGGUUGAUUUCGGUAUGCUAUGGAAUAGCAGACCUGGAGCCACGGGACAUGACUUGUUGCUCUAUUAGACACGCUAGAUAAUCUCCUGAAACAAAGAAAUAAAGCAGUGAUUCGAUGGGAGGAUUUUCCUGUCAAGAAUUAUGAAUGCCGAAGUAACCCAGAAAAUAUAGCUGUAUUUGAACAGGGCCAGGCAAGAUAAUGGACAAGAAGACCUGUUAAAUGUGAGGUCCCAUUUAAAUCGAAAUGAUCCACCAAAUCUCAGCUCCCAGGGGGGUCUCUGUUUGUGCAUUCCAGGGUAGAAACACUACAGGGACACUUUUGGCGUGUGAUGGGCACUGAACCUACAAAUAGCAAUAAAAGAUGGCCUUUCAAGUGGCUUCCUUCGGUAAAUAAAAGGUAAAUAAACAGCAAUGCUCAUUUAGAAGAUAACUAAGGGGCGCCCCAGUGGCUCAGUCAGUUAAGCAUCUGACCUCAGGUCAGGUCAUGAUCUCAUGGUUCAUGAGUUCGAGCCCCGCGACAGGCUCUGUGCUGACAGCUAGGAGCCUGGAGCCUGCUAUGGAUUCUGUGUCUCCCUCUCUCUCUGCCCCUCCCCCACUCACACUCUGUCUCUCUCUCAAAAAUAAAUAUUUUUUUUUAAAAAAGAUAACUAUCAUGCCGGUCAGAGUGGCUAAAAUGAACAAAUCAGGAGACUCUAGAUGCUGGAGAGGAUGUGGAGAAACGGGAACCCUCUUGCACUGUUGGUGGGAAUGCAAAUUGGUGCAGCCACUCUGGAAAACAGUGUGGAGGUGCCUCAAAAAAUUAAAAAUAGAGCUACCCUAUGACCCAGCAAUAGCACUGCUAGGAAUUUACCCAAGGGAUACAGGAGUGCUGAUGCAUAGGGGCACUUGUACCCCAAUGUUUAUAGCAGCUCUUUCAACAAUAGCCAAAUUAUGGAAAGAGCCUAAAUGUCCAUCAACUGACGAAUGGAUAAAGAAGAUGUGGUUUAUACACACAAUGGAACACUACGUGGCAAUGAGAAAGAAUGAAAUCUGGCAACAUUUGCAGCAACGUGGAUGGAACUGGAAGGUAUUAUGCUGAGUGAAAUAAGUCAGGCAGAGAAAGACAGAUGCCAUAUGUUUUCACUCAAAUGUGGAUCCUGAGAAACUUAACAGAGAACCACGGGGGAAGGAAAGAGGGGUUGGGGGGAGUUAUAGAGAGGGAAGGAGGAAAACCAUAAUAGACUCUUGAAUUACAGAGAACAAACUGAGGGCUGAUGGGGGGCGGGAGGGAGGGGAAAGUGGGUGAUGGGCAUGGAGGAGGGCCCCUGUUGGGAUGAGCACUGGGUGACGUAUGGAAACCAAUUUGACGAUGAAUUAUAUUAUAAGAAAAUUAUUUAAUUAUGAAAAAAUUUUAAAAAUAAUAAUAAAAAAUUUUUAAAAGAUAACUAAACAGUACUUUAGAUUUUGUGACAGCAGGCAGAAGAGCAACAUGGGGGGGGGGGGCAAGCCAUUGUGCAGAGAGCAGUAGGCUUUGAGUCAAGAGACUGGACUUUACCCAGGUUCUAUGUCAGACUGACUUUUGGCAAAGUAAGACUCAGCUUCCACUCAGUUUCCUGACGCAUGAAAUGACAAAGGUUGCUCCCGGCGCCCCGUGCUCUGACUCCGGGUCCCCUACCAGAAAGGGCUUCUUAUAAAGAUCACCUUAACUUGACAGGCCACAACUGUCCUUCCUACGAACUUCGCACAGCAGGACAGAAGCUCCACCUGUUUGCAUGAGGCCUGGGUUGUGGGAUAAGGGAUUUCCUGAUGGAACCCCAAGAGUCUGUAUCGUCACAUCCUCCCCAGUGAGCCCAUGAGGAAGUGUACCAAAAAGCCACAGGGUGAGAACAGUUUGGGGGCAGCCGUAAGAACAGGUUGUGUUUAUUUAGGGGCUGGAAAUGUAAAUGCACGUAUCAAACGCCUCCCCCACACCACCCACACCGCCCCUACCAUGGUUACCAAAAAAAAAAGAAAAGAAAAAGAAAAAGAAAAAGAAAAAAGGACACAGCGGAUCUUUGGCACAGUUAGGCCUUGCCCAUUUUCAGCUCUGGUCUUUCUCUGAGGUAAUAUCUUUAUCUGCUGCCCGCCAGACCUGUUUGUUGGUGCAGGUAAGUUUUGCUUCCUUCUGACUCACCAUAGCUUGCUUGGCGGCAGUGAACCCGGAAGCCGCUGUUUCCUGAUGAUCUUUGGCCUACUUCUUCCGAGAUGCCGUGGGGCAGUCAUGGCACCCUGGGCGGUGGGUUGACUUUCCCUCAGUCAAAAGCCUUUGGCACGGCCACCUCCUGGUACCCCCGAAGCCCUGCUGAGAAGUCACGGUGGAGAAGUGCCAGGAAACGCCUCCCACACUCUGUUAAUUACACAAGGGACUUUUAAAAGUAAAAACUGGGUACCCAAAGCCCCCAGGAAGUACCAUACGAGCCACGACCUCCAAAAUGAACCAGUUAAGGAGGUCCAGCACAGCGGAAGAGGGCUUGCAUUUCGAAGUUAGAUAAACCCCAGUUGGACCAACCUUAGUGCAACAUGGAACUCGUUAAUAGUUCCACCUGCCUUGCUGUUUUGCAGUUCCACGCCUCAAUUGUGCUGCCUCCGCUUUCUGGAAUGCUCUGCCCCACCCCACGGCCUCUCUUCACGGAACUACCUCCCGCUUAUCGUCCGCAGUUCAAACACCACCUCCUCCAGGAAGUCCACCCUGCACAUCCCCAGCUGCAUUAGAUGCCCCUCUUGGUACUUAGCCUCAUGCCCCAUGUACGGCUGUCAUUGCACUUACCAUAUUGUUGUAUAAUUGCUAUCUUCCGCUCCUACGCUGAAUUUCUUCUUGGCCAGAACCAACACAUUUUAUUCAUCUUUGUUCUCUCCGUAGCUCAAUGCAUAACUUAGUAUGUUCAUUAAAUAAA